rnacentral:tRNA from 1 species
GGAGAGAUGGCUGAGUUGGUCGAAGGCGCUCGACUCGAAAUCGAGUAGGCUGUGAUGAGCGGCCUCGUGGGUUCGAAUCCCACUCUCUCCGCCA